UGUGCUCAUGCUGAGUCUCUCUGGGCGGUUCCUCUUGUUUCCUGUUUCCUGUUUCCUUUUACUCUCCAGAGGCCGUGUCGCAGUUCUUUCUCUCAACGUGGAGCUCCAGCUGAAGGACUUUGAACUCGGUGUGUGUGUGUGUGUGUGUGUGUCAGUGUGUGCGUGUCUUGUCUUUGAAGGACUUUGAACUCGUCUGUCUGGAACGUUCUACUCGUCAACUCCAGCUGUUCUUUAGUUUCAGAGAGAGGGUCACCUCACUUCUAAAGGAGGUUGGACUCUGUGGAGGUCUGCAGGGUCCUGCAGGUUGGACUCUGUGGAGGUCUGCAGGGUCCUGCAGGUUGGACUCUGUGGAGGUCUGCAGGGUCUCCAGCUGCUUCUGACU